UCCAGGGUAGCCUAGUGGACAUGGCAUCUGCCCGGUAAGCGGAACACUGUGGGUUCGAUUCCCAUCACUGGAC